AACGUCCAUACGGGAGAGGAAAAGAAUCCGGAUCGCCAGCUAAGGUCCCAAAAUUUGUGUUAAGUGGGAAAGGAUGUAGAGUUGUCAAAACAGCUAGGAGGUUGGCUUAGAAGCAGCCACCCUUUAAAGAGUGCGUAAUAGCUCACUAGUCGAGUGACACUGCGCCGAAGAUGUACCGGGGCUAAACACAAUACCGAAGCUGCGGACUUGCAUGUAAGUGCAAGUGGUAGGGGAGCGUUCUAAGUGCUGAGAAGGUAGACCGUAAGGACUGCUGGAGCGCUUAGAAGUGAGAAUGCCGGUGUGAGUAACGAAAAUUGGGUGAGAAUCCCAUUCACCGUUUGACUAAGGGUUCCUGGGUAAAGUUCGUCUUCCCAGGGUAAGUCAGGACCUAAGAUGAGGCUGAAAAGCGUAGUCGAUGGACAACAGGUUGAUAUUCCUGUACCACCUAUAUGACUGAAGGAGUGACGGAGAAAGCUAACGAGGGCCAGUUAAUGGAUUCUGGUCUAAGUGCGUAGGCUAGUAUGUUGGCAAAUCCGCAAUACUAUAACAGCUGAAACAUGAUGGGGAAGAGAGUCUUCGGACAAUCGAACUUUCAUGAUGCUAUGCUUCCAAGAAAAGCUUCUAGGGUUAAUCGUAUAGGUGCCUGUACCGACAACCGACACAGGUGGUCAAGGAGAGUAUCCUAAGGUGAGCGAGAGAACUAUGGUUAAGGAACUCGGCAAAAUGACCCCGUAACUUCGGGAGAAGGGGUGGUCUAGCGAUAGACCCGCAGUGAAUAGGCCCAGGCAACUGUUUACCAAAAACACAGGUCUCUGCUAACACGAAAGUGGAUGUAUAGGGGCUGACGCCUGCCCAGUGCUGGAAGGUUAAAGAGAUUAGUUAGUAUGACGUAAGUCGAUAAUACGAAGCUUUGAACUGAAGCCCCAGUGAACGGCGGCCGUAACUAUAACGGUCCUAAGGUAGCGAAAUUCCUUGUCAGGUAAGUUCUGACCCGCACGAAAGGCGUAAUGAUCUGGAUACUGUCUCAACCAUAGACUCGGUGAAAUCUUAAUACCUGUGAAAAUGCAGGUUACCCGCAACAGGACGGAAAGACCCCAUGGAGCUUUACUACAGUUUGAUAUUGAAAUCAGGUAUGUCAUGUAGAGGAUAGGUGGGAGACUUUGAUGCUAAGGCGCCAGCCUUAGAGUAGUCAACCUUGGAAUACCACCCUUGAUAUAUUUGAUUUCUAACCUGCUACCGUAAUCCGGUAGGGGGACAGUGUCUGAUGGGUAGUUUGACUGGGGCGGUCGCCUCCCAAAAUGUAACGGAGGCGCCCAAAGGUUCCCUCAGAAUGGUUGGAAAUCAUUCGAAGAGUGUAAUGGCAGAAGGGAGCUUAACUGCGAGACCUACAAGUCAAGCAGAUGCGAAAGCAGGGCAUAGUGAUCUUGCGAUUCAGUAUGGAAUGGUCGUUGCUUAACGGAUAAAAGUUACCCUGGGGAUAACAGGCUGAUCCCACCCAAUAGUUCAUAUAGACGGUGGUGAUUGGCACCUCGAUGUCGGCUCGUCGUAUCCUGGAGGUGUAGUCGCUUCCAAGGGUUGGGCUGUUCGCCCAUUAAAACGGCACGCGAGCUGGGUUCAGAACGUCGUGAGACAGUUCGGUCCCUAUCCGUUGUGGGCGCUGGAAAAUUGAGAAGAGCUAUCCUUAGUACGAGAGGACCGGGAUGGACGUACCGAUGGUGUAUCAGUUGUCACGCCAGUGGCAGCGCUGAGUAGCUAUGUACGGAUGGGAUAACCGCUGAAAGCAUCUAAGCGGGAAGCCCUCUUCAAGAUGAGUUUUCCCUUUCUUUAAGAAAUAAGAUCCCAUGAAGACUACAUGGUUGAUAGGCUAGAGGUGGAAGAAUAGUGAUAUUUUGAGCUGACUAGUACUAAUAGAUCGACAAAUUAAUCAU
rnacentral:rRNA from 1 species